GCCGCGGUAAUUCCAGCUCCAAUAGCGUAUAUUAAAGUUGUUGCAGUUAAAACGCUCGUAGUCGGAUUUCGGGGCGGUCCCGCCGGUCUGCCGAUGGGUACGCACUGGCGGGCGCGUCCUUCCUCCCGGAGACGGCCGCUACUCUUAACUGAGCGGUGGUCGGAGACGGGAUGUUUACUUUGAAAAAAUCAGAGUGUUUCAAGCAGGCAGUCGCUCUUGCAUGGAUUAGCAUGGGAUAAUGAAAUAGGACUCUGGUGCUAUUUUGUUGGUUUCGAGCACCGGAGUAAUGAUUAACAGGGACAGUCAGGGGCACUCGUAUUCCGCCGAGAGAGGUGAAAUUCUCAGACCAGCGGAAGACGAACGACUGCGAAAGCAUUUGCCAGGGAUGUUUUCACUGAUCAAGAACGAAAGUUAGGGGAUCGAAGACGAUCAGAUACCGUCGUAGUCUUAACCAUAAACCAUGCCGACUAGGGAUUGGAGGAUGUUCCGUUUGUGACUCCUUCAGCACCUUUCGGGAAACUAAAGUCUUUGGGUUCCGGGGGGAGUAUGGUCGCAA
rnacentral:rRNA from 11 species